UACAGAGGUCUCAAGCGUUGUUCGGAUUCAUUGGGCGUAAAGGGUGCGUAGGCGGUGGGGCAAGUCAGGUGUGAAAUCCCGGAGCUCAACUCUGGAACUGCACUUGAUACUGCCUUACUAGAGUACUGGAGAGGAGACUGGAAUUUACGGUGUAGCAGUGAAAUGCGUAGAUAUCGUAAGGAAGACCAGUGGCGAAGGCGAGUCUCUGGACAGGUACUGACGCUGAGGCACGAAGGCCAGGGGAGCAAACGGG
rnacentral:rRNA from 1 species